GGGGAAUAUUGGGCAAUGGGCGAAAGCCUGACCCAGCAACGCCGCGUGAGGGAAGAAGGCCUUCGGGUUGUAAACCUCUGUCCUUGGUGACGAAAAAAAUGACGGUAGCCAAGGAGGAAGCCCCGGCUAACUACGUGCCAGCAGCCGCGGUAAUACGUAGGGGGCGAGCGUUGUCCGGAAUUACUGGGCGUAAAGGGUGCGUAGGUGGCCUUUUAAGUUGGAUGUGAAAUACCCGGGCUUAACUUGGGGGGUGCAUCUAAUACUGGAGGGCUAGAGUGCAGGAGAGGGAAGCGGAAUUCCUAGUGUAGCGGUGAAAUGCGUAGAUAUUAGGAGGAACACCAGUGGCGAAGGCGGCUUUCUGGACUGUAACUGACACUGAGGCACGAAAGCGUGGGGAGCAAACA
rnacentral:rRNA from 2 species